AACGCUAGCUACAGGCUUAACACAUGCAAGUCGAGGGGAAACGAUAUUGGAAGCUUGCUUCCGAUAGGCGUCGACCGGCGCACGGGUGAGUAACGCGUAUCCAACCUGCCCAUCACUUGGGGAUAACCUUGCGAAAGUAAGACUAAUACCCAAUGACGUCUCUAGAAGACAUCUGAAGGAGAUUAAAGAUUUAUCGGUGAUGGAUGGGGAUGCGUCUGAUUAGCUUGUUGGCGGGGUAACGGCCCACCAAGGCGACGAUCAGUAGGGGUUCUGAGAGGAAGGUCCCCCACAUUGGAACUGAGACACGGUCCAAACUCCUACGGGAGGCAGCAGUGAGGAAUAUUGGUCAAUGGGCGAGAGCCUGAACCAGCCAAGUAGCGUGCAGGAUGACGGCCCUAUGGGUUGUAAACUGCUUUUAUAAGGGAAUAAAGUGAGUCUCGUGAGACUUUUUGCAUGUACCUUAUGGAUAAGGACCGGCUAAUUCCGUGCCAGCAGCCGCGGUAAUACGGAAGGUCCGGGCGUUAUCCGGAUUUAUUGGGUUUAAAGGGAGCGUAGAUGGAUUUUUAAGUCAGUUGUGAAAGUUCGGGGCUCAACCCCGUAAUUGCAGUUGAUACUGGAUAUCUUGAGUACAGUUGAGGUAGGCGGAAUUCGUGGUGUAGCGGUGAAAUGCUUAGAUAUCACGAAGAACUCCGAUUG
rnacentral:rRNA from 1 species